rnacentral:rRNA from 1 species
UACGUAGGGUGCGAGCGUUAAUCGGAAUUACUGGGCGUAAAGCGUGCGCAGGCGGUUGCUUAAGUCCGUUGUGAAAGCCCCGGGCUUAACCUGGGAAUGGCAGUGGAAACUAGGCGACUUGAAUCUGGCAGAGGGGGGUGGAAUGCCACGUGUAGCAGUGAAAUGCGUAGAGAUGUGGCGGAACACCGAUGGCGAAGGCAGCCCCCUGGGUCAAGAUUGACGCUCAGGCACGAAAGCGUGGGGAGCAAACAGG